UGUAGCAGUUGAUCAAGAUAGGAUUAAGGGUGGGCAACACCAAACCGGAGUACCCACCCUUAUCCUUCUGUCAAGGUGGAACAACUGCUCCAGACAGCACUGAAGUAUGAAAUCCUUGUCCUGAGAAGAGCUGGAGGGCCUAUCUACUUAACAGAUUCAUGUACUCAAAUUAUUCCAGUAACUAAAUUGGCAUGUGAGUAUGUUAUAGACUGACUUGUGUCCUACCCACUCCAAAUUCCUGUGUUGAAGACCUAACCCUCAAUGUGACCAUAUUUGAAGACAGGGCCUUUAAUGAGAUUCCUGCUCCAGCUGGUUCUUCUUGGGAUGGAGCUGGACAGUCAGUGACUCAUAUGACCUUCCCAAGGAGGCCAAGAGUAUGUCCUGUCUUUCUGAAUAGGCUGGGACCUGGGAACAAUGAGCUUGACAUCUAAGACAGGCAUCCAUCACCUGGACCCUGCAGAUGGCACACGUAUCGCACUCCACGUCCCAGCUCCACAUGGCCACCGCGUUCCACUUCUAGAGAGAGAACAUUUUGUCGCCUCCCGACUUAGAGCCUGCGCUCCCCGAGUGAGAGGCCAGGGCGCAGGGCUCCUCUCCGUCUUCCACGUCGGCCAUGGCGGCGGCGCGGGGCCAGCGGCAGAGACGUUGGGUCGGGGGAGGUUUUUAAGCACAAAUCCAGCCUGCUUUCUGGGUGACAGACACUUCUGCUACAGCUUCUGAACUUCCUGAGUAGCAUCCAAUAUUUUUCAGUUGUGCCUCUGGCACAUCAUCAGCUUCAGAGAAUCAACUUGCAGCACUGUGGAGCACCUGACUAUGGUAACUUAACACAUUGCGUACCGCUCAAGAGUUUUCUCGUUUUUCACGGGAUAUCUGUUAUGGACCUUAGAUGUCAACACGCUGUCUUGUCCACAUUGAAUGAAGUGAUCUCAUUGGUGGAAACCGUGCAGGUCAGUUAUGAAAAACUAUAUAAUUGCACAAACCCAUAAAGCAUUGCAGUUACAUUGUAUUUUGGUCAUUCGAAUAGUUUUCGUCUUCAAGUUCCUGGCGCUUUUAGAAAUGCCCUCUCUCAGAAAAAGGAAGGAAACCAACAAAAAUGAUAUACUUCCGGAAGUAUUUAACGAUAAUUUAUCAGAUAUUCCUAGGGAGAUUGAAGAUGCAGAUAACUGUUUUGAUGAUUCGGGAGAAGAUUCUACUGACAGUGAAAUUAUUAGACCUGUAAGGAAGCGCAAGGUGGUGCUUUCAAGUGAUUCCAACACUGACGAAGCUACUGAUAAUUGUUGGUCUGAAAUUGACACACCACCACGCUUACAAAUGUUUGGGGGUCAUGCUGGGGUCACUACAUUUCCAUCUCAGUGUGACUCUGUACCCUCUGUGACCAAUCUCUUUUUUUGGUGAUGAAUUGUUUGAGAUGUUCUGCAAAGAGCUGUCCAACUAUCAUGAUCAAACUGCAAUGAAAUGCAAAACACCAGCUAGAACACUAAAAGUGGUCUCUAUUUACACAGAAGGACAUCAAGAAAUUCCUUGGCCUAAUUAUUCUGAUGGGUCAAACAAGAAAAGAUAGCUGGAAAGACUGUUGGUCAACAGAUCCUUUGAUAUGUACCCCUAUAUUUCCACAGACAAUGAGUCAUCAUAGAUUUGAGCAAAUAUGGACAUUGCGGCAUUUCAAUGAUAACGCCAAAAUGGACAGUUGCUUGGGGAGACUUUUCAAGAUCCAACCUGUGCUGGAUUAUUUCCUGCAUAAAUUUUGAACAAUAUACAAACCAAAGCAACAGUGUCUUUGGAUGAGGGAAUGAUUCCAUGGAGAGGACGUUUAAAAUUUUGCACGUACAACCCAGCGAAAAUAACAAAAUAUGGUUUACUUGUUCGGAUGGUGUGCGAGAGUGACACCGGCUAUAUCUGCAAUAUGGAGAUAUACACUGCUGAAAGAAAGAAAUUGCAAGAAACUGUUCUUUCAGUCCUUGGACCCUAUCUUGGCAUAUGGCACCAUAUUUACCAGGAUAAUUAUUACAAUGCUACAUCUACUGCUGAAUCGCUGCUACAGAACAAAACUAGAGUCUGUGGGACUAUUAGGGAGAGUAGAGAUUUACCGCCAAAUUUGCAAAUGAAAACAUCAAGAAUGAAGAAAGGUGACAUAAUAUUUUCCAGAAAAGGUGAUAUUCUUCUCCUAGCAUGGAAAGACAAGCGGGUUGUCCGAAUGAUAUCAACGAUCCAUGACACUUCUGUUUCAACAACAGGAAAAAAAAUAGAAAAAUGGGAGAGAAUAUUAUAAAACCUACCUGCAUCAAGGAAUAUAAUGCCCACAUGAAAGGUGUUGACUGUGCGGAUCAAUUCCUUUCGUGUUGUUCCAUUCUAAGGAAAACGAUGAAAUGGACAAAAAAAGUAGUGCUGUGCCUUAUAAACUGUGGACUUUUCAAUUCAUUUGGAGUGUAGAACAUCCUCAAUCCACAAGUAAAAAUGAAGUAUAAACAGUUUCUGCUAUUCGUGGCGAGAGUCUGGAUAACGGAUGACAAUAAGGAAGGCUCUCCAGAACCAGAGACAAAUCUGUCCAGUCCUUCCUCUGGGGGUGCAAGGAGAGCACCUCGUAAAGAUCUACCCAAAAGGUUGUCAGGUAAUAUGAAGCAGCACGAACCUACGCGUAUUCUAGCGAGUGGAAAGAAAAAAUUUCCUACAAGAGCCUGCAGAGUUUGUGCUGCCCAUGGAAAAAGGAGCAAAUCUAGAUACUUAAGUAAAUUUUGUUUGGUCCCUCUUCAUAGAGGAAAAUGUUUUGUGCAGUACCAUAUGUUAAAAAAAGUACUAGGAACUUUGUUUAAUAAGUUGUUUAAUUGUUUUUGUAAAUAAAAAUGUUAUAAAUCAUGAUGAGGUAGGCAUGAAAUUAUGGUACUUUAAAAAUUAUUUAGAAUAUUUAGAAAGCAUCUAGUAGAGUUACCCACUUACUUUCCUUCAUCUUCAUUUUAAAUAUGCUCUAGAGAUAGGUCAACCCGUUCCAAUUUGACAAGCAUUAUUUAAGGAGGAAGAAAUUCCAUGCCGUGUAAAAUAUGAUGAUAUGCUGAUUAUAACAACAUACUAUUAGCAACACGUUUCAGUUGUAUUCACUAAAUUCUGUCCUGUUUCCUCAAAAUAAUAGCUUAAGAUGCAUGUUAAUUGUAUAUCUUACCUAUUUUCUUUUUAUAUUAUUCUUAUAAUAUAAUAAUGUAUGUUAAAAAACAGCCCUAGGAUUCUAAUCUUCCUAUGCAGCUGUCUUCCAGUACUUAUCAGUACUCUUUAUUAAAUUGUGAUAAGUGGCAGAAAAGUAGGAUAAAAUGUUCUUCUUUCCAUUAGAUUUGUUUUUAUAUCAUGUGACCAUGUACCAAGGCAGCUAUAAAUUAUUGUAUUUCUGUAGAAUAUGGAAAAUAGCAUCUGUCUUAUCUUUGCUAAAUGUUUGCAAUUUCUAAGUAAACUUUUCAUCUCCUAAAAAAAAA